CCGGUGUUGCUUUGGAUGCUGACACCAACUUGUCCAGUUUCAAAGUUCUACUUUCCCAGUUGAGGCGAAGACACUAAGCACAGCAGUUUAAAGAUAAUUCUUAAAAACAAACAAAAAACAAUCCGAAGAAC
rnacentral:lncRNA from 14 species